UGUGUGUGUAGAAAGAGAAAGAAGGGAAAACAAAUAUGGUAAUCUGCUAACAAUUAGUAAGUCAAAGUGAAGGGUAUGUGGCCAUUCGUUGUACUGUCUUCUCAGCUUUGCUGUUGAAAUUUUGCAAAAUCACAAGUGUAGAAUUUGAGUGUAGCCUGAUGUGGGGUGAACGACUGUAAGAGGGGAAAAGACGGUUGAGCAGACUUGGCAGGAGCCAGGAGAGGUAUGGCAACUCCAGACUGCUUCUGGACCAGAUUCCUAGUCCCAGUGAAAAUCAGGCAAAAUUCUAAGCUGCCAAACUGGCAACAAACAUGGGACCUGCAGCUUAGUGCACACCUGGAAGCUUUGGGUCAGCCCUACCAUCUGGGGACCAGAUGUGGGCGCAGCAGACAAAUUCCAGGCCUACUAACAAGCCAAGAACUCCCAAUAAUGCCACGUGUAGCUUUCAGAGGCUCAGGACUGAGAAAUGCUGAAUGAUCGAUGGUUGGCUGUUGUUCCAGAGGCCAGACAGGAUCAAGACCAGCAGGAACUGACACGUCUGCCUGUUGGCCAAGGAGGCCAAAAGCCCGCCUGAGAGGGAAGAUGGCAUCUUCUCCAACCAUGCCUUCUUGGUAUUUUACAAACACCUCCCCACCACUCCUUGACCUGUUUUUAUGCUUCAGCACAUACCAAGAACAGGUGAGAUCUGUUAUAUUUCUUUCUUAGAAGUCUGGAAACUAUUCUUUGAUGGAAAAAGAGUCUAAUGAUAACUUAUGAUUUCUUCAAAAAAGAGCAUUAGCCUGAACUUAAUGUGUUUCAUCCUAUUGGAAAAAUAGAGGUCUGAUCGCAUGGUUUCAUUUCCAUGAGGUUGAAAAGGUAACAUUUAUGGGAGCAUCGGGUCAGUUCAGUCGGUUCAGCAUCAGACUUUUGAUUUCAGCUCAGGUCAUGAUCUCACAGUUCAUGAGAUCAAGCCCCGUGUUGGGCUCUGCACUGACAGUGCUGAGCCUGCUUAGGAUUCUCUCUCUCCCUCUCUCUCUCUGCCCUUCACCCACUCUCCCCUCCUCUCUAAACAAAUAAAAAAAAAAUCUUUAAAAAAAAGAA